UACGGAGGAUGCAAGCGUUAUCCGGAUUCAUUGGGUUUAAAGGGUGCGUAGGCGGGCUAUUAAGUCAGUGGUGAAAUCCUGCAGCUUAACUGCAGAACUGCCGUUGAUACUGAUAGUCUUGAGUUUGGUUAAGGUAGGCGGAAUGUGUAAUGUAGCGGUGAAAUGCUUAGAUAUUACACAGAACACCAAUUGCGUAGGCAGCUUACUGAGCCGACACUGACGCUGAGGCACGAAAGUGUGGGGAUCAAACAGGAUUA
rnacentral:rRNA from 1 species